rnacentral:rRNA from 1 species
GACGAACGCUGGCGGCGUGCCUAACACAUGCAAGUCGAACGGAAAACAUAGCAAUAUGUUUUCAGUGGCGAACGGGUGAGUAACGCGUAGACAACCAACCUUUUUGUGGGGGACAACACUUCGAAAGGAGUGCUAAUACCGCAUACGCUCCAGAUGCCGCCUGGUGUUUGGAGGAAAGGAGCUUUACGGCUUCGCAAAAAGACGGGUCUGCGUCUGAUUAGCUAGUUGGAGGGGUAACGGCCCACCAAGGCGACGAUCAGUAGCCGGUCUGAGAGGAUGGAAGGCCACACUGGGACUGAGACACGGCCCAGCCUCCUACGGGAGGCAGCAGUGGGGAAUCUUCCGCAAUGGACGAAAGUCUGACGGAGCGACGCCGCGUGAGUGAUGAAGGCCCUUGGGUCGUAAAGCUCUGUCAUCAGGGACAAACGGUCACGUCAGGAAAUGGGCGUGAAUUGACGGUACCUGAGAAGGAAGCCACGGCUAACUACGUGCCAGCCGCCGCGGUA